rnacentral:rRNA from 1 species
UGCGUAGGCGGAUCAAUAAGUCAGUGGUGAAAUCUCUCGGCUCAACCGGGAAACUGCCAUUGAUACUGUUGAUCUUGAGUUCGGUUGAGGUAGGCGGGAUGUGUAAUGUAGCGGUGAAAUGCUUAGAUAUUACACAGAACACCAAUUGCGUAGGCAGCUUACUAGACCGACACUGACGCUGAGGCACGAAAGCGUGGGGAGCGAACAGGAUUAGAUACCCUGGUAGUCC